GAGGGCUGAGUACUGGGGACACUGGGACAGGAAGGACAUGGCCCUUUCCCUCCAGGACUUCACGUUAAAUCGACAGGUUCAUUUGGACAAAUUCUUUCAUUCAUUUGGCGUGUUUUUAUUCUGAAGUGCAGGUUCACAAAACUCUGUGACAAAGGGCGUAUUUCGGAGAGGUUAGAAGUGCUACAGAAGCAGAGGGGAAAGAAAAACGAAUGGCCUUUCGGUCGCAUUGGGAAGCCAGAGCGGGCACAGAGGGACGGAGCAGACCUUCAGGGUCCCAGCUGUGGACUGCGGGAGCCCAAGCUGCUCUUCCCGCCAGGAGCGCCAAAGCAAGACGCCUGUGGGAAACGGGACAGGAAUCUCAGAGAAUUCCUCUCAGGGUGUACUCUCCGUGGGUGACUGAAGUGGCUAAUGGCUUGAUGCUCACCGAACUGAAAUGGCAGAAGAAAAGGAGAGGAAGUGUUAUGGCGCUGUUCUCCUGGGGAGGAUGUGGACUCUGGUGAAAGAGGCAGACUGUGGCUUGACUGGAGAGUGUUGGAGGAAGUAUGUUAUAAGUAAAAAAUACCAUAUUUAUAUAUGUAGAAUAUAUACACAUACAUCAUAUGUAGUAUAUAUAUAGUAUCUAUAUAUACAAUUUUUAUGCUAAAGAAUUUUUAAGCCUUUUUAACCCAAAGAAAAGCCACCCUGAAGGGGCAGCCCUUAGCUUCAAAAUGCUAGAACUCCACUAGGGGCUGCAAUCCCUUUAGAAGGGGACUGUAAACUGGGGUAACAUUUUUUUUUUAUCAGCAAACUUCUCAUUAUGUAUUUUCUAAGCCAAGGUAAUUCUACUGAAUAAUUUUCUAGUAGGUAGUUAAAAAAAGAUCCAUUGUAUAAAGAAGAUGUGGUGUGUGUAU